UACGAAGGGAGCUAGCGUUGUUCGGAAUCACUGGGCGUAAAGCGCACGUAGGCGGAUUUGUAAGUGAGGGGUGAAAUCCCGGGGCUCAACCUCGGAACAGCCUUUCAUACUGCGAAUCUCGAGUCCGAUAGAGGUGGGUGGAAUUCCUAGUGUAGAGGUGAAAUUCGUAGAUAUUAGGAAGAACACCGGUGGCGAAGGCGGCCCACUGGAUCGGUACUGACGCUGAGGUGCGAAAGCGUGGGGAGCAAACAGG
rnacentral:rRNA from 1 species